rnacentral:rRNA from 1 species
GGGUGCGAUCAUACCAGCACUAAUGCACCGUAUCCCAUCAGAACUCCGAAGUUAAACGUGCUUGGGCGAGAGUAGUACUAAAAUGGGUGACCUCUUGGGAAGUCCUCGUGUUGCACGCC